UGUGCCCGUAACUCAGUGGUAGAGUGUGAGAUUGCAAUAGCGGUUUGUAAUAUCUUGAAGCCGCGUGUUCGAACCACGCCGGCACUU